ACUCGUUACAAAUAUCACUUCUCCUACCGGCCAUUAUAUUCAAUGGAUCUUAGUGACAAAGCCCAACGUCAAUGGUUUAAGCACCGAUGGGGUGGCGAGGAAGAUGGUUCAAACAUGAAAAUUUAUAGCUAAACCAAUACGGUUAAUGCGAAUGGUUGAGAAGCCAUUCCUAUGGAGCUCUAUAGAGAGGAAAUGCUUAUACCUCCUCCAACAACGAAACACCAUGGCUUCUAUCCUCAAAAUCCACGCUUUCAUGCUCCGGAACGCCGUUGAAACCAACGUUAAUCUCCUCACAACAUUCGUCAAAACCUGCGCUUCGCUUCCUCUCUUUGCCACGGCAAACCCACUUGCUGGCGUCCACCACGCUCGUCGCGUGUUCGAUCACCGGCCUGAGAGAGAUGAAGCGUUCCUUUGUAACUCCAUGAUCAAAGCCCAUGUGGAUAUGCGCCAAUUCGUCGAGUCUUUCAUUCUUUACAGGGAUCUUAGGAGGGACACGGGUUUCACUCCCGAUGGUUACACAUUCCCAAUUUUGGCCAAGUCUUGUGGCUUGAAUGUGGCUAUUUGGGAAGGCCUAGAGGUGCACGGUCACGUUUCUAAAUUUGGAUUUGGCUCGAGUCUGCACGUAUCAACGGCGCUGGUUGAUAUGUAUGCUAAGUGUGGGAAGAUGGAUUGUGCAAGAAUGUUGUUCGAAGAGAUGACGGAAAGAAGUUUAGUGUCAUGGACAGCUCUUAUUUGUGGGUAUGUGAGGUCCGGGGAUAUAAGUAAGGCAAGGUUGCUUUUUGAUCAGAUGCCUGAGAAAGACGCGGCGUUGUUUAACGCAAUGAUUGAUGGUCAUGUCAAAUUUGGAGAAAUGGGCUUGGCUAAAAAACUGUUUGAUGAGAUGCCAGACAAGAAUGUGGUGUCUUGGACCAGCAUGAUUUAUGGGUACUGCCAUAAGGGUGAUGUUGAAUCUGCUAGGUUGCUCUUUGAUGCCAUGCCGUACAAGAAUCUAUUUUCAUGGAAUGCAAUGAUUGGUGGAUAUUGCCAGAACAAACAACCUUAUGAAGCAUUGAGAUUAUUUCAGGAAAUGCAAUCAACCACAUCAUUCGAACCAGAUGAAGUAACUGUCGUAAGCAUUCUUCCUGCUAUUGCUGAUUUGGGUGCUCUCGAUUUAGGUGGCUGGGUUCACCGGUUUAUUCGGGAGAGGAGGCUUGAUAGAGCAACUAAUGUCUGCACUGCGCUUGUUGAUAUGUAUGCAAAAUGUGGCGAAAUUACAAAAGCCAAAAGACUUUUUGACGAGAUGCCUGGAAAAGAAACGGCUUCUUGGAAUGCUUUAAUAUAUGGGUUUGCAGUCAACGGCCGCGCAAGGGAAGCAUUAGAGAUAUUCUUGGAGAUGCGACGAGAAAGACAUAAGCCAAAUGAAAUAACCAUGCUUGGUGUUUUGUCUGCUUGUAACCAUAGUGGUCUAGUGGAGGAGGGGAAGAAAUGGUUUAAAGCAAUGGAAGAAUUUGCGCUUACCCCAAAGAUUGAGCACUAUGGCUGUAUGAUAGAUCUUCUGGGGAGGGCUGGGUGCUUGGAUGAAGCUGAGCAGUUGAUUGAGAGUAUGCCUCACAAGGUUAACGGGAUAAUCUUGAGUUCUUUUCUAUUCGCAUGUGGAUGCUCUAACGAUGUUAUGAGAGCCGAGAGAAUACUCAACAAAGCAGUCAAAGUGGAGCCACAAAAUGAUGGAAACUAUGUAAUGUUGAGAAAUUUGUAUGCCAUAGAUGAAAGGUGGAGAGAUGUAGAAGAAAUUAAGGGAUUGAUGAGAAAGAAUGGAGCAAAUAAAGAGGUGGGUUGUAGUGUUAUUGAGAUUGAUGGUAGAGUCAGGGAGUUUGUGGCUGGGGAUAGAGCGUACCCACAUUUGAAGUCUCUACAUUUUGUGUUGGAGCUGUUGCAGAAGCACAUGAAGGGACAGAUUAUUUAAACUAUAGAGGCGGCGUGAAUUACUACUUCUGUGGCUUGGGCGAAGCCCAAAGCUGAUACAAGUUCCAUCGCAUCAAAUUUCAUGAUUGAGGUCGAUGGUAGAUUCAAGGAGGAUAGAGUAUACACAUUUGGAGGUUCUACAUGCUUGCGUUUGAAAAAUGGAAUGAAGCAAAAGAUCAGUUACAGAGGAGGAAAGUGCUCCUCGAUCUCAUGGAGGGUGUGUCAAUCCCAGCAAAGGAGACAGAUUCCAAUGAUGCUCACCGGAAUAGCAACAACACUAUCAGCAGCCAAUGAGUCAUGGCUGCAGAGAGAGCCGGAGAGAAUUUGGCCCAGCUAAAAAUCAUGAAGACCACUCCCAUUGUCUUCUUUGUAGGAUCUCGUCUCUGUUAAUUUCUGAAAUAACAGCAAGCAAUACCAACUCUAAUUGAGUUCUCUU